rnacentral:tRNA from 2 species
GGGCCUGUAGCUCAGUUGGUAGAGCGCCACGUUUACACCGUGGAUGUCGUCGGUUCGAGUCCGGCCGGGCCCACCA